GACGAACGCUGGCGGCGUGCUUAACACAUGCAAGUCGAACGGACAGGCCCUGCUUUUGUGGGGUGCUCGAUUGGCGCACGGGUGAGUAACACGUGAGUAUACUGCACUUGACUUUGGGAUAACUUCAGGAAACUGGGGCUAAUACCGGAUAGGAGCUCCUGCUCCAUGGUGGGGGUUGGAAAGUUUCGGCGGUUGGGGAUGGACUCGCGGCUUAUCAGCUUGUUGGUGGGGUAGUGGCUUACGAAGGUUAUGACGGGUAGCCGGCCUGAGAGGGUGACCGGCCACAAUGGGACUGAGAGACGGACCAGACUCCUACGGGAGGCAGCAGUGGGGAACAUUGCGCAAUGGGCGGAAGCCUGAUGCAGAAACGCUGGGUGCGUGAUGCCGGGUUUCGGGUGGUAAACCGCUUUCGCCUGUGCUGAAGCGGUAGUGACGGUAAUGGGUAAAAAAGCACCGGCUAACUACGUG
rnacentral:rRNA from 1 species